rnacentral:rRNA from 1 species
CCCCUACGGGACGCAGCAGUGGGGAAUAUUGCACAAUGGGGGGAACCCUGAUGCAGCGACGCCGCGUGAAGGAAGAAGUAUUUCGGUAUGUAAACUUCUAUCAGCAGGGAAGAAAAUGACGGUACCUGACUAAGAAGCCCCGGCUAACUACGUGCCAGCAGCCGCGGUAAUACGUAGGGGGCAAGCGUUAUCCGGAUUUACUGGGUGUAAAGGGAGCGCAGGCGGCGUGGCAAGUCAGAUGUGAAAACCCGGGGCCCAACCCCGGGAGUGCAUUUGAAACUGCCAUGCUGGAGUGCCGGAGAGGU